GCAGGGGGACACUGUCGGGGAUGUCCUGCAGGAGCAGCCGCUCCCGCCAGCGACGUCGGGCCUCAAGUGGCACCUCCGACAGCAGCACGUAGCGCCAUCUUUUCUUUCUAGUCCUUGGGCUCGCUGCCCAAAGUUAGGUGAGAACGGUCAGCACAGGGCCCCUGAGAUUUGCAGGUCUGUGAGAAAACCCUGUUAGCUCUUGACAUUUCUACCGGCAGGAAAGAGGUCUGUGCUAAAUACCUUGAUUUCUGUGUAACCGUCUAUUCAGUGACAAGUCCCUUAAGGAUGUGGCUAAUGGAAAAGGACUCUUGCUCCUGCCUUUAGACUCCAACCUCAGAUUUUUCCCCACUGCUUAGCCUUGAAAGUGAACCACUCCUUAAUGGGCUUGGAUCCGGUUAGGGAGACAUUCAGAGCAAGGUGGCUCUUGGGGAAGCUGUCUUUGGAGAGGAUGUGUGCUGGGUUGCUAUCCUUGAGCAAUCUCCUUUCGGGAAAGCCAAAAGGAAGAAGAAAGUAGAGAGCGAAACACUGUCUCAAGUGUCUGAAGAAAACAAUUCCAAUGUUGCUGCUGACUUGAAAGACUUGAUUGGACCUUCAAAGAACAAAGCAGAAAAGAGUGUGGAAAUACCCUGGGACAAAGAGGACGCACAGGACUCUGGCCCAGGUGACCAUUUGGGACCUUUGCCUGAGACGGAUGCAGCUCAGGAGUGGAGUGCUUUCAAGUUUUCCUUCUUUGGAGACACAGAGGAGUUGGGCAUCAAAGAAGGAAUUCGGGAAGGCAUGCUUCGAGAAGGCAUUGGGUACUUUGCAGAGUGGUGGAAAAACUUGUUGUCAUGCCCUGAAUUCCUCAAAGAGGGCAAAAGAACCUUAGGUACUUGGAACAACAAAACCGGUACAAGUCACGUGGCAAGAGGAUCGACGUGUCCAAGACUGCAGUUCAGAGGGUGAUGAUGAACCCGAGAUGUCAGAAAUUGAAAAGGACCGAGAAAUGCAAGUUCCAUUGCUCUUUGUUGUCUCCUUGGCGAUAAUAGCUGGAUGCUGUGUCAAUAUUAAGAGCAGGACUCAGCAAGUGGGAAACUGACAUUGCACGCCCCUGAAAGCCAUCUUGGAAAACCAUUUGUGCUGCACAGAGUCAAAACGCCCAGCAGCCUGUUUGCUGUGAAGUGGAAUGUGGAAAAGGAGAAGUAGAGCACAAGAAAUUUUCCGGGUCAUUUGGGUUUGACCAACUCCAAACGGAGUUUGGCCAAAAGCCAAAGACACAGUCAGUUUUCUCUUUCAAAGUGGGUUUUGUAAAAUCAAAAGCUCUAUUUGGGUACUAUGGAAUAAAGUUUUUCAAUGUACAAAAUUUCUCUGAAGCACUACAGUUUCAAGUCAUGCGCAUGGAAUUUCAUAGUACAAUUUAGGAUGCUAAAAUCCCUUUGUAAUUGUCUAGGUUUCUUUCUUUACUACGCACACAGAAAGUGCUAGAGUUUGCUUCUUCUCCGACAAUGAUGAACGCCUAAGAAGUAGGACAGAAUUUCUCCACCCCCUUUUGGAUUUCUUUCCCUUCUGAACCUUUCCUGCACUAGUUAUGAAUGUUUUCUAGCAAAAUUUGCCACCCUUACUUGUGGCCAAAAUAGUGGUGGAAUCCCAUGAGCAAGUCCUGGUAAAAUAGAGGUCAAGCAGAUUUCUGGCUUACUUUUCUUUCAGAUAUUUGGCUAAUAGGAACCUGGAAUUUUAGAGCUUAUCAAAAACUUAGUCACUUGACAGGUUACCUAGACAGUUUGGAUCCUUUCGGGUAUGUGUAGCAUCUUGAACUUUUUCCUGCCAUUCUUUCGGGUGUUACCAUCAGGAAUGUUGAGUUUGGCUUGUAUGUGCCUGUGGUUCUUUGUCCUCAUGAAUCUGGGGCUUUCUCUUCUGAAUCCAGUGAAUUUGGUGUUUAGAAACAAAGCAAACAACAACAAAAGGGAAAACACACAGUCCCCAAAACCUGCACAGGCCUCCAGAACAAUUGCUUGUUAUAUUUUGUAGAAUAUAUAGUCUUAAGACAGGCUCAAAGGCUGUGCCUUUCUUGAGACUGAUUAGAUAACUCUGAGGCAAGGUACUGCUGUGUUCAUGCAGUUACCGGCCUGCAAUCUCCCCGCCUGUCUGAUUUACAGGGUGUGUUGAAACGGAGAGCUCAGUCCUCAGCAGGCCUCAAUGCUGGGGAAGAUGCAGGGUCCUGGUGCUGAGCUUCUAAGGGAACGGCUGCUAUUUCUCUGCAAUUUAGAUUGCAGCAUGUUGAGGAGAACUGCUGCUGCCUUUCAUUGUUCUUAGUACACCAGGCUGCAGCAGGGAACAUUUCUG